CCCAAGUUGUGGGAGCAUGGGGCACAGGAGCAAGCUGAUGGGCAGUACCGUGAGGCAGAGUUAGCCAGAGAGGGGCUGUGAGAUGAGGCCGUUAUUCACAGCUAUGCCCAGGGCACACUUUGCACAUGAGCCACAUUUGGGAUGGGCAGCAGGAGGGGCCUUCCGGAGCCCACCUGAGGGAGACAUGGCCAACAGGCUGGCUAGACUAGUGGUGGAGGAGAUGUUGGCUCCCCUCCUGUUGUGAAAAUAAAAUCAAUCACUUUAUUUUCCAUUAAGGGAGUAACUAGAGAAGAGAGGUGGUGGCCCUUGGGGCCUGACUUUUUCUUUCCUGAGGGAAAAGAGCCCCAGUAGCAGAGCAGCUGUGGUGAGGGAAGGCUGUGGCGCGGGACCUGAUGGAGCGCCAUGGCUGGAGCCAGACAGUGCUGGUGGCUUUGUGAGGCCUGCCGGGAUGUGCUAGUCUGUGGUCACAUGCAAUAUAUUAGAUUGUACUGACCUUGUGAGGCAGGAUGGAAUGUGACAAGACUUCUCUAUGGGCUAGGGCUGUGAGCUGUAGUCCUUUGUGAACUGAUACCUGUGGGAUAGCUCCGCUUAUUCACUGCCCAGCACAGCCUUACUGAAGAGUAUGGCUGAGGGAUGUUGCCGUGGAUGAGGUGUGAGCUAGCUAAGGGUUGGCAAUUCCGAACAAUUCUGCCUGAUAACCUACUUACUGCCAGUGCCCAACUACAUCUGAUGCUGCGACUUCUUGGACAAAGCAAAAACUUUCUGCUGACUAACAUCUCCACUUUGCCCCAACCUGCUGGAUGCUCUGGAAGCUGACGAGAACCAGAGAUUUUUUUUCAUAUUUCCUCUUUGCCUCAACUACGUGCUGUCAGUUAGGAAAUCCACAGCUCAGUAUUGACAUGUGUGAUUCCCAGUUUGACUUCUGCGCUGGAGUCCAACUGGAACUGUGCACCAGUGAAGGUCUGCUUCCCAUAAAGGGCCUCUCUGAAAUGGGGCACUCAAGAGACAAAGGCCUGUUCAUAUAUAAAAGGGGGAAGAGAAUACUGGAACAAAGAGGAAUUUCUACUAUUUCCUGCUUUGGUAUAUUCACAAAAAUCAGACCUUUUUAGUGAAUGAAUGCCAGUAACAGAUUAUAUAUCCUUAUGUUUAUUAAUUACCUUUCCUUUCUCAUUCAAGCUUUGAUAGCUGCUAUUCUCAAAUAGGUAACAGAUAAACAUAAUGAACUCUUCUGGAUGAAGGCUGAAAGUCACAGAGCUAUGAAAUAAUGCAAUUGAAAAUGGAGGAAGAGUGGUCCCAGUGCUGUCAUACCAGCAGUGAAUGCACAUCAGACAAUGCAAAAUGCUGUACGCUCAACAGAGACAUGGUCCAUAAUACAAGAGCAUAGGAAUUUCAUUUCCAUGCAGAGCUCAAUACAAUUAAAAAAGAAAAAAAAAGAAAAGAAAGAAAAAAGAAAGAAAAAAAAGAGCGGGAUUAUAUGAGUGGUAAUUUGGUGUUAUGGAUAUAUGGAUGAGGUAUUUUCUUAGAAGCCUUAAAAUGAUGAUGAUUGCAGUUUGGUCCAUGACCCGGGGGGGGACUUCCUGCUUCUGCUGGUGAGUUUGCUUGUUUGUUUGUUAUUGCGCACAUUGCUCUAGAGAAGUAGGACUUAGCAAGAAAAAUUAACCUAUUUUACUUUAUUUUUUACUUCUAUAGCGUUGCUAUUGCAAUUCCAUAGAGUUCCAUUAUUUUCUCAUGCAGAAGCACAUUAUAACUUUUAGUUUUCAUUGUUUCAGAUGAAUGUUUAUAUUUUAAAAAUGAUAAUAAUUAUGUUUUUCACUAAAGAAAGUUGUGGGACUUCUCAUUACAACCUCUAUAAAAUGUGAAGAUUUACUCUUCAGCAUGGAGAGAGAGAGAGAGGGGCAUCACAUGCCUCUCCUGCCUUCGUUCAGGGGAAAAGAAAACUUCAUUUUUUAUAUUUUAGGAUAGUCUAUUUUAAGAACUAGUCCAUAGAAGUCCAUGGAGUUUAAUGUCAUUUCUUCAACUGCAAUGCAAAGAGAAACUGAAACAUGAAAAAAAGCACGUGCUGAGAAAUAAUAUUCUGGCAGUGGAGUUCAUUUUCAACAAAAAACAAAUAAUACUGGUCCCCUCACAAAGACUUGUUAAAUAUUAACUAGCACCCAGAAGACAUAAGCAAUGACUCAGAUACACAGGAAAAAGCCCCCAAGGUUCCUGUUUUACUGGAGCAUUCCAGAACCUGCUGAAGUGAACCUCAGGAAGUCAGGCCAUGUCUGAAGGGCAGAGCAGCACAGUGGCCCAAUGUCCCCCAUGGCCAUCUUCUCCCUGUCUCCUCUUGCAAGUUUGGAGUGAACAACAGAAAGCAGUCGCUCCUCAGAGUGCUGUUUUUUCAGGGACUGACUGCAAGAUUUCAAGUUGUUGAUCAUACGGACUUGAUUGUGGAUGUGAGUUGCACCUUCCUGACUACAAACACUGAGCCAGGUUAAUGCCUGUACCUCUGGAGCCUUAGGAGCACAAAAAGUUCUGCUCUCCUGGAAGGGACUUCAAAGAAGAAAGGAAAAAAAACCAUCGGUUCAACAAUUUACAUAUUCCUCUCACGAAAGAAAAAUGGGGAGAAACAGUACAUAUGCUUACUACCCAGCUUCCUUCCUUGUGAGGUAAAGCAUUUCUUUCUGUGCAAUGCGUAAAAUUCUGUAAUUGACGGUGCUGUCAGUCUGGAAUCGUUCACACUUAUCUAAAUACUCCAAAUUUAAUAUAUGUAUAUUCUAAAUUUCUUUUUCAUAUAUCUAUUAGCAACACAGUGAGCCAAUUUUUAUGUGUUCCUGUGAUCCCAGGCUCAAACUGAAUUAUCAUCAUUCUGUUUAAUAACCAACUUCUGCACAAUUCGUGUAAUUAAAAUAGGCCAAUAUUACAUAUUGUACACAAAAAUGAGCCCUUUGAUUUUUUCAAUAAAUAGGUACGAGUUGAUUUUUUUAUUCAUAAAAUACAGAUAUAUGCCCUCUUAAAUAUUUCAGUUACCUGACAUAGUUUAACUUCUCAAAAUAUAUAUAAUAUUCUUCAGAGAGUAGAAAAUAAAUUCCUGAAAAGCGAUACGAAACCCCUCCAGAGAAGACAAUGAAGCCUCUUCAUUUCAGAGCCCAUUUCUAUUCCCAAAGGAAACAGGGAUUUGAUGGACCUGACAGACUUUAUUCCCAAGCCAAAUUCCUCUUACAUAAAAAACCCUGCUGGCUAAGCCAUUCUUUCAUACUCAACGAGCUCCAGCACAGCCUCUGAUCCAAAGCUGGCAGUUUGACACUAGAAGAGAAGCAAUUUCUCAGGUGAAUAUGUUGCUAACCAUGCCUCCUUUCUAAGACACUAGCUUUCUUACUAGCAAGAGGAGUAACAACAUUGGUCCCUAUGGUAUCUUCUCUGUGCAGGGGAGCAAUGACUAAUCAUUAUCUUUUGAGUUUUCACAGAAAAGAAGGAACGGAGACACUCAAGGGGUGUUCUGUGCUGCUGGUAACUGCAGAUGUCUCAGCAAAAUAUCACGAUCAGAUGUCUCAAAAGAUAGUGGUUAACCAAAAAUAAUUUGCUUUGCAAUAUGCUUUAGAUCCAUAGACUGGGAUCAAAAGGAAAUCCCUUACCAUAGCUUAAAACAUCAUUUUUAAAGACUUAAGUGGUUUGAGUGUCUUGUUAUGUUAUCGUAGUGAACUUGCUGGGAAAAAAAAAAAAAAAAAAAAAAAAAGCUGUUAUCAUUUUAGAUCAAUCCAGUUAAUCAGAACAAAAAGUGCUGGAGCCAUGGCCACAGAACUCAUGCAUGGAGAGAUUCUGGGCAUUCUCCAGCAGUUGGUGGCCUGUCCCAUCCCUCCAGCACAAGGCACAUGGACUCCUGCAGUGAGAGCACCCGUGUGCCCACCCCUUCGCUCCGGCGAGCACUGUAAAACUUCUGGUCAGUUCUCCUACAAGUUCCAAAUAUGGAUUAGUAGUUCCUCAUCAUCAACCUUUUUAUUUUGAACACCUUUCUCAGCUUGGACUUGUCUUCUUAUGUCUUUCUUUGUGAUUUGUUGUCCUAGCUGUUUUAAAGGCUCUUGUGCUUCAUAUACAGCUACAAUA